GCAGCAAAUUCUUUAUGGUCUAAAAGAUCAGAAUUGUCCCCGGCGAAUCGUACGAUCUCCUACAAUGACAUUUACAACGCGAUAGCCGACGGGUUUGAUCUCCACAGCUGGAUGCCGCAGAAGAAAACAUUUCACUUUUGCUUCUUAGGCUUCCAAUACCGAGGGAAACGAUGCAUAUCCUACUACUACUACAAUUCUUCCGGGAGUACGGCGCUAAAUGUUGCAUUGAAUAAAGUUCCUUGUUGCCUUUGUCUUCGCUCACUUCCUAGCGGCAAAAUUCAUACUCGGAGCUCCAUUUGUGUUGCUACUCCUAGUCUAUAAGUGGAACAAAAGACACCAAGCAAUGGACGCAAACAUCGAAGAAUUUUUGCCUAUAAGCCACUCUUACUCGGACAUCAAGAAGAUCACCAAACACAAGUUAGGUGAAGGGAGAUAUGGUUUUGUGUACAGAGAAAUGCUUAGAAGUGGCAAUGAAGUUGCUAUUAAGAUUUUGAACAAAUCAAAAUCUAGUGGCUAAGAUAUUAUGAGCGAAAUGGCCACAAUUGGAAGGGUCCACCACAUUAACAUGGUGCAACUUCUGCAUUUCGAUUACUUCAUACAAGCUCUUAUCUAUGAUUUUAUGCCAUAUGGAUCUUUGGAUAAACACAUUUUAUAUAAGGAUGGUGAAAAUUCUCUUGAUUAUUAGAAAUGUAUGAGAUCUCUCUUGGCAUAGCUAGAGGAAUAGAGUAUCUUCAUCGGGGUUGUGUUAUGCAAAUUCUACACUUUGACAUCAA